UACGUAGGGUGCGAGCGUUAAUCGGAAUUACUGGGCGUAAAGCGUGCGCAGGCGGUUCGUUAUGUCCGAUGUGAAAGCCCCGAGCUCAACUUGGGAAUGGCAUUGGAAACUGGCGAACUGGAGUGUGGCAGAGGGGGGUGGAAUUCCGCGUGUAGCAGUGAAAUGCGUAGAGAUGCGGAGGAACACCGAUGGCGAAGGCAGCCCCCUGGGCUGACACUGACGCUCAGGCACGAAAGCGUGGGGAGCAAACAGG
rnacentral:rRNA from 1 species